GAUCCUGGCUCAGGACGAACGCUGGCGGCGCGCCUAACACAUGCAAGUCGAACGAGAGAGAAGGAGCUUGCUUCUUCGAUCGAGUGGCGAACGGGUGAGUAACGCGUGAGGAACCUGCCUCAAAGAGGGGGACAACAGUUGGAAACGACUGCUAAUACCGCAUAAGCCCACGGGUCGGCAUCGACCUGAGGGAAAAGGAGUGAUCCGCUUUGAGGUGGCCUCGCGUCCGAUUAGCUAGUUGGUGAGG
rnacentral:rRNA from 1 species